rnacentral:rRNA from 1 species
UUACUAGUAUUAGAGGCACUGCCUGCCCAGUGACACACGUUUAACGGCCGCGGUACCCUGACCGUGCAAAGGUAGCAUAAUCACUUGUUCUUUAAAUAGGGACUCGUAUGAAUGGCACCACGAGGGUUUAACUGUCUCUUACUUUCAACCAGUGAAAUUGACCUGUCCGUGAAGAGACGGACAUGAAACAAUAAGACGAGAAGAYCCYGUGGAGCUUUAAUUUAUUAGUACAACUAAAAACCAUACAAACCAACAGGUCCUAAAUCCCCACAUCUGUGCUAAAAAUUUUGGUUGGGGCGACCUCGGAGCACAACCAAACCUCCGAAUAAUCCACGCUAAGACUACACAAGUCAAAGCAAACUAACACUUACAAUUGACCCAAUAGUUUGAUCAACGGAACAAGUUACCCCAGGGAUAACAGCGCAAUUCUAUUCUAGAGUCCAUAUCAACAAUAGAGUUUACGACCUCGAUGUUGGAUCAGGAUAUCCUAAUGGUGCAGCAGCUAUCAAGGGUUCGUUUGUUCAACG